rnacentral:lncRNA from 1 species
GAUCCGGGGAAAGUUCAUGCUGUUCCUUGCCAGCAGAAUGAGUCCCCAAGGUGCCGACGGCAUCGCUGGCCAAAACGGACCUGCUUUCCCAAAGCUAGAAAGCAAGGGCUGGGGUUUGGUGGUGCCAUCUCCAGCGCGGAGGGUCCACGAACGGGGAGGCUGGGAAGGGCGACUCCGACUCCGGCGUGUCCGAACCCCUGCGAGAUGGAGGGGGCUGCACUAACGGGGUUUUUCCUUGCCUUGCAGGGGCUGGCUGGCCUGGCGCCCCCAGCUCCGCACCCUCCUGCUGGACCUCGUCCUCAUCUACGUGUCCGUGCCCUUCCUCAUCCGCCUCUUCCCUGUGCUGCUCACCAAGUUUGCCUUCCUCAACUUCCGAUGCUCGGUGCCCCGAGUUGCAACACAUCUGAGCAGGCAAAGGGUCGGAGAGGCCGGAAAGGCUGCUGGGAGGAGGCGUCGGGCGGCCGAACUCGGCCGAACCGCUUCCGAAGUCGGGAACGAAACGGGCCGGAGUGGCGUUCCCCUACUUCGUGGACCUCCAACAGCCGGAGCUGCUGCUGAACAACACGGUGAACUUGUAUCUCACCACCGAGCCCAACGUCACCGUCGGCRUCUGGUGCGUAGCGGAGCCUCCGCGGCGUCCUCCGACACCGGCCCGCGCGGCAGCACGGGGAGCUCCUGCCCCGCGUCGAGCGGCGGCGCGGGAAAGCCGCUCGCGGGGAGCCGUGAAAAGCUCGCGUCCCCGCUCCGUCCCCGCAGGCACACGGUGCCGGGCAGCCGGGCGGCCGAGGCCCGGGGCAAGGACCGCGGCUGGUACGAGGAGGCGCUGGGCGACGCUCAUCCCGUGAUCAUCUACCUGCACGGCAAUGGAGGCACCAGGUGAGCGCCGUGCCGUGCCGUGCCGGCUGCGGCCCCGCGGCGAUGCUUCCCGGUGAGCGGCGACGCUUCCUGGCUGCUCACCCCAGCUGCACUUAAUGCAUUAAGGCUGUGUCGGGACCCCUUCCCAAAAAAAAUGCGUUAAAUGCCAGGGGAGGGAGCAUGGCCRGGGUGGGAGGAAGGGAGAAAUCCCACCCGCGGAGGGCUGAGGUCUGCUGAGAGAACGAACAAACUCGGUGCAGCGGAGCAGGGCCGCUGCAGCGGUUUCGGACUCUAUCCAGCUGUGAGCGCGGAAGAGGGAAAGUCCCCUGGAGCUAAAGGGAAGCGCGGGCUUCCCGUACGGCGUUGCCGCUGGGAAGCGUCCCCUUGCCAUGGG